UACAUGGGGUGCAAGCGUUGCUCGGAAUCAUUGGGCGUAAAGCGCGCGUAGGCGGUUACUUAAGUCGGAUGUGAAAGCCCUCGGCUUAACCGAGGAAGUGCAUCCGAAACUGAGUAGCUAGAGUACGAAAGAGGGUCGCGGAAUUCCCGGUGUAGAGGUGAAAUUCGUAGAUAUCGGGAGGAACACCGGUGGCGAAGGCGGCGUCCUGGACCAAUACUGACACUGAGUGAGCGAAAGCCAGGGGAGCAAACGGG
rnacentral:rRNA from 1 species